rnacentral:rRNA from 1 species
UACGAAGGGUGCAAACGUUGCUCGGAAUUAUUGGGCGUAAAGGGCGCGUAGGCGGCGACUCAAGUUAGAUGUGAAAGUCCUGGGCUUAACCUGGGGACUGCAUUUGAUACUGGGUUGCUUGAAUUCGGGAGAGGAUAGCGGAAUUCCCAGUGUAGAGGUGAAAUUCGUAGAUAUUGGGAAGAACACCGGUGGCGAAGGCGGCUAUCUGGACCGACAUUGACGCUGAGGCGCGAAAGCGUGGGGAGCAAACAGG